GAAUAAACUGACUUAUGCCGGCAUAACUUAGAACUGUUAAAUGACUGCAUAAGAUAAUGGCUCAGGAUAUAUACAAGGUGCUUGAAAAAGGGUGAUGGAUUUCGAAAAAUGAAUAGAAAGAAAAUUCAGUGUUCUGUUAUUUACGUAUAUUUGGGAAGACUUGCAAAAUUUUGAAGUUGGUGUAAACCUAGAUAAAUAAAAUAUUGUAUAAUACUA